UGCAAGUCGAGCGGACAGAAGGGAGCUUGCUCCCGGAUGUUAGCGGCGGACGGGUGAGUAACACGUGGGUAACCUGCCUGUAAGACUGGGAUAACUCCGGGAAACCGGAGCUAAUACCGGAUAGUUCCUUGAACCGCAUGGUUCAAGGAUGAAAGACGGUUUCGGCUGUCACUUACAGAUGGACCCGCGGCGCAUUAGCUAGUUGGUGGGGUAAUGGCUCACCAAGGCGACGAUGCGUAGCCGACCUGAGAGGGUGAUCGGCCACACUGGGACUGAGACACGGCCCAGACUCCUACGGGAGGCAGCAGUAGGGAAUCUUCCGCAAUGGACGAAAGUCUGACGGAGCAACGCCGCGUGAGUGAUGAAGGUUUUCGGAUCGUAAAGCUCUGUUGUUAGGGAAGAACAAGUGCGAGAGUAACUGCUCGCACCUUGACGGUACCUAACCAGAAAGCCACGGCUAACUACGUGCCAGCAGC
rnacentral:rRNA from 1 species